rnacentral:rRNA from 1 species
GGCUCAGGAUGAACGCUGGCGGCGUGCCUAACACAUGCAAGUCGAACGGGACUAUGAAGUGAUGUUUCGGACUGAACUUUUAGUUAGUGGCGGACGGGUGAGUAACGCGUGGACAACCUGCCUCUCACUGGGGGAUAGCAGCUGGGAAACGGCUGGUAAUACCGCAUGCGUUCAAUAUGCCGCAUGACAUAUUGAAGAAAGAUUUAUCGGUGAGAGAUGGGUCCGCGUCUGAUUAGCCAGUUGGCGGGUAACGGCCACCAAAGCGACGAUCAGUAGCCGGCCUGAGAGGGCGGACGGCCACAUUGGGACUGAGACACGGCCCAGACUCCUACGGGAGGCAGCAGUGGGGGAUAUUGCACAAUGGGCGCAAGCCUGAUGCAGCGAACCGCCGCGUGAGUGAAGAAGUAUUUCGGUAUGUAAAGCUCUAUCAGCAGGGAAGAAAGGCCCGCAAGGGAGAUGACGGUACCUGACUAAGAAGCCCCGGCUAACUACGUGCCAGCCGCCGC